rnacentral:rRNA from 1 species
GACGAACGCUGGCGGCGUGCUUAACACAUGCAAGUCGAGCGGAAAGGCCACUUCGGUGGUACUCGAGCGGCGAACGGGUGAGUAACACGUGAGUAAUCUGCCCCUGGCUUUGGGAUAGCCACCGGAAACGGUGAUUAAUACCGGAUACGACCACUUCUCGCAUGGGAUGGUGGUGGAAAGUUUUUUCGGCCAGGGAUGUGCUCGCGGCCUAUCAGCUUGAUGGUGAGGUAAUGGCUCACCAUGGCUUCGACGGGUAGCCGGCCUGAGCGGGUGACCGGUCAGACUGGGACUGAGACAAGGCCCGGAGUCGUACGGGAGGCAGCAGUGGGGAAUAUUGGACAAUGGGCGGAAGCCUGAUUCAGCAACGCCGCGUGAGGGAUGGCGGCCUUCGGGUUGUAAACCUCUUUCAGCAGGGACGAAGCGCAAGUGACGGUACCUGCAGAAGAAGCACCGGCCAACUACGUGCCAGCCGCCGCAGUAA